UGGAGAGUUUGAUCCUGGCUCAGGACGAACGCUGGCGGCGUGCCUAAUACAUGCAAGUCGAGCGGACAGAUGGGAGCUUGCUCCCUGAUGUUAGCGGCGGACGGGUGAGUAACACGUGGGUAACCUGCCUGUAAGACUGGGAUAACUCCGGGAAACCGGGGCUAAUACCGGAUGGUUGUYUGAACCGCAUGGUUCAGACAUAAAAGGUGGCUUCGGCUACCACUUACAGAUGGACCCGCGGCGCAUUAGCUAGUUGGUGAGGUAACGGCUCACCAAGGCRACGAUGCGUAGCCGACCUGAGAGGGUGAUCGGCCACACUGGGACUGAGACACGGCCCAGACUCCUACGGGAGGCAGCAGUAGGGAAUCUUCCGCAAUGGACGAAAGUCUGACGGAGCAACGCCGCGUGAGUGAUGAAGGUUUUCGGAUCGUAAAGCUCUGUUGUUAGGGAAGAACAAGUGCCGUUCAAAUAGGGCGGCACCUUGACGGUACCUAACCAGAAAGCCACGGCUAACUACGUGCCAGCAGCCGCGGUA
rnacentral:rRNA from 1 species